GCCAGGCAUGCAUGUGUGGUCCCAGCUACUCUGGAGGCUGAGGUAGGAAGAUCCUUGAGCCCAGGAGUUCUGGGCUGUAGUGCGCUAUGCCGAUCAGGUGUCUUCAUGAAGGUUGGCAUCAAUACGGUGAGCUCCUAGGAGCAUGGGACCACCAGGUUGCCUAAGGAGGGGUGAGCUGGCCCAGGUCAGAAACGGAGAAGGUCAAAACUCCCAUGCUGAUCAGUAGUGAGAUUGCGCCUGUGAAAAGCCACUGCACUCCAGCCUAGGCAACAUAGCGAGAACCAACUCA
ensembl:misc_RNA Metazoa_SRP Metazoan signal recognition particle RNA